GGAAAUAGGACUCCACUGAGGCUGUAAUUUCACCUUCUUGUCCUGGCUAGCCCAGCUCAGAGAAAGAACAACUUGUGGUUUACUUUUCAUUAUGGACAUCAACAGAACCCUUAGGAAUCAACAGUAAAUCUCUCAUUGAAUUCAGUUGCACAAGAUGAGGACCUGGAUUUGAAAAUUCAGCAGACACCCACCAGCAACUGAGGAAAGAAUCAGAGCAGACAACUUUUAGGCUUUUAUUUCUAUUCCUCUAUAGUCAAAACUUUUAAUAUGUGAGCUAUUGGUUUUUAACUGAACACAAAGGUUAGAAAGAAUCAUCCUCCAUCUUCUCACCCUCAAUUUUACCUGGGCUUCCUGACCUACAAACUAAAGAACUGCUGCAACAUGUCAGAAAGUGAAGCCAUUCUGAAAGGAUUAAGAUCUUUGCACUCGUGUUUUGUUGCAGACUAUAAUGUCAAAUUAAUAAGGCCUGCAGGAUCAUCAAACAUAGAAAUAAUCAUUGGGAACAUACAACUGAGAAGAAAUCUUAUGAAAAACGAGAUAAAUAUUGAGGGAAGAAGUAUUGGGGCAUCUGCCAAGCUGUCCCUGUGCUGUAAAAUCAGCAUUUUGCAAUGCCAAGCCAAGCAAUCAGCCAAAUUUUCCUCUGAAUGUAAUGCAAGCUGCACGUUUCACCCAAGCCUGCUUGAAGAUUCUGGCUAAGAACACAAAGAUGAACAUGGUCUUAAAUUUGGAGUCAUAACAAGAUCUCAACCCAAGUAAGUGAUACAUAUUAUUUAGGAAUGUAUA